UUACGAUCAUAUCCCGUUGAAACACCGGUUCUCGUAAGAUCACCGAAGUUAAGCAACGUCGAGCCUGAUCAGUACCUAGAUGGGUAACCACUUCAAAAUACCAGGUGCUGUAAG